AUCAACAAACUUCAUCCGCCUCAAUCACUACCCACCUUGCUCCAUUCCUCACCUAGCUCUGGGCGUUGGUCGCCACAAGGAUUCCGGAGCCUUAACUUUCCUUGCUCAGGAUGAUGUUGGAGGGUUGGAAGUAAAUCGAAAAACCGAUGGAGAAUGGGUUCGAGUUAAGCCCACCCCAGAUGCUUAUAUCAUCAAUGUUGGGGAUAUAGUUCAGGUCUGGAGCAACGAUACUUAUGAAAGUGUGGAGCACAGGGUGAUGGAGAAUUCAGAGAGGUAAAGGUUCUCGAUUCCGUUCGUUUUGAGUCCCGGGCACCAUGUUUGGGUGAAGCCCUUGGAGGAGCUGACGAAGGGGGAAAAGCCAAAGUAUAGAGCAUACAACUGGGGAAAGUUCUUUGUUACGAGAAGGCGCAAUAAUUUCAAGAAGCUUGAUGUGGAAAACCUCCAAAUUUCUCAUUUCAAGGUAUCAGAGUAAAAGGGUCAGUGGGACAUUAUCUAUCAUGUAUUCAAUAAGAGCUUCUUUUAGCUCUCUGAAGUUGGCCAUGCAGUAUAGGAUGCGUAUAUGCAUGGAGAAUUUUGAGGUUUGGUGUGAAAAAAAUAAUGUAAUUUGCUUGAUAAAUAAGCAGCAAUGCAUGCUGCAUUAAUGGAAUAGUCAUUUUCCUCCUUUAUCGGGAAGAAAGUUAUUAAGAUCAA